rnacentral:tRNA from 1 species
GAGGGAUUCGAACCCUCGGUAAACAA